UCUGCUCAAUGAUUUUUUAAAUUGCUGUGGUAUUUUGACUAUGCGAAGGUAUUGAAAUAAGGCUUUAAAUGAGUGCUAAGAGAAUGGUUUAACAAUUUUAAGCUUUCUUUAAUUAAAAAAUUGAAUUUAAUUUUUUUUGUGAAGAAGCAAAAAUUUAAAUUAGGGACAAGAAGACCCUAUGAAUUUUGAAUUAAACAAUAUAAUUUGUAUAGGUUUAUUUUGUUUAAAUUAAUUGGGGUGAUUUGGAAAGAAUAUGUAUCUUUUUAAGAAAAUUAAUUUGUUCCGUUUUUAACGAUUUUAUGAAAAAAAUACUCUAGGGAUAACAGCGUAAUAAUUUUGGAUAGUUCAUAUAGAUAAAAUAGUUUGCGACCUCGAUGUUGGAUUAGGAUUCUUUUUUAGUGAAGAAAUUAAAGAGAAGAAGUUUGUUCAACUUUUAAAUUCCUACUUGAUCUGAGUUCAGACCGGA
rnacentral:rRNA from 1 species